rnacentral:lncRNA from 1 species
AAACAAGCACUCUUUCUCGAUACAGAGGAAUCGAUCACCGAUGAUGAUCCAUGUAAAAACUCGACACUGAAGUAAAUGAAGUCGAAGAUGAUCGAUCUCAGCAACAAAAAACUUCUCAUCCGUAAGUUUUGUGAUUGAUCAUCUCCAUCCUCUGUUUUGAUAUCAGUUCGUCUCUACCCCUAACCCUAAACCUAAUUAAUAAUAUUUCACGGCCGGUAAAACAAGGAGGAAUAAGGAAGGUGAAAUCGAAGCAGCUAAAGAAGGUUCCAUGGUUUCAGACUAGCUACCUAAAGAGAAUCAUUCGCCAGAGAGAGGAUGAACAACAUCUCCCAGAACAAAUCUGCCCGUUUCCUCGACAAGAAAAUCUGUGACACCUUAUCAACUACCUACACAAAAAAGGCGUAGACAAGGUGCAGAGAAGGCUAGCAUCUCGGCCUUGUAAAUGGGCUACUCGUUACCAUAGUCCAACAAG